AUUGAACGCUGGCGGCAUGCUUUACACAUGCAAGUCGAACGGCAGCGCGGGCUUCGACCUGGCGGCGAGUGGCGAACGGGUGAGUAAUGCAUCGGAACGUGCCCAGUAGUGGGGGAUAGCCCGGCGAAAGCCGGAUUAAUACCGCAUACGACCUGCGGGUGAAAGCGGGGGACCGAAAGGCCUCGCGCUAUUGGAGCGGCCGAUGUCGGAUUAGCUAGUUGGUGGGGUAAAGGCUUACCAAGGCGACGAUCCGUAGCUGGUCUGAGAGGACGACCAGCCACACGGGGACUGAGACACGGCCAAGACGACUACGGGAGGCAGCAGUGGGGAACUUUGGACAAUGGGGGCAACCCUGAUCCAGCCAUGCCGCGUGCGGGAAGAAGGCCUUCGGGUUGUAAACCGCUUUUGUUCGGGAAGAAAUCCUCUGGGCUAAUACCCCGGGGGGAUGACGGUACCGGAAGAAUAAGCACCGGCUAACUACGUG
rnacentral:rRNA from 1 species